AUUAGAAGCAGGAUAAAUAUGUUGAUUUGAAGGACAGACGGGCAGACUCUGUGAAUUGGUGUGUGAGAGUGUCACGGUUGUCGUCGGAAGGAUGAGACCAAAGCGCAGUGUGAAAGCACAGCAGAUAUACCCUGUCAUUAUGUGGCUGAGUGAUGGGGAGA